GACGGGGGGUCCUAGCGUUGUUCGGAAUCAUUGGGCGUAAAGCGUGUGCAGGCGGCUUUGUAAGUCAGAUGUGAAAGCCCCGGGCUUAACCCGGGAAGUGCAUUUGAAACUACAAAGCUUGAGUAUGGAAGAGGGUCGUGGAAUUCCAGGUGUAGUGGUGAAAUACGUAGAUAUCUGGAGGAACACCGGUGGCGAAGGCGGCGACCUGGUCCAAUACUGACACUCAUACACGAAAGCGUGGGGAUCAAACAGG
rnacentral:rRNA from 1 species